UACGUAGGGUGCGAGCGUUAAUCGGAAUUACUGGGCGUAAAGCGUGCGUAGGCGGUUCGCUGUGUCCGAUGUGAAAGCCCCGGGCUUAACCUGGGAAUGGCAUUGGAAACUGGCGGGCUUGAGUGUGGCAGAGGGGGGUGGAAUUCCGCGUGUAGCAGUGAAAUGCGUAGAGAUGCGGAGGAACACCGAUGGCGAAGGCAGCCCCCUGGGUUAACACUGACGCUCAGGCACGAAAGCGUGGGGAGCAAACAGG
rnacentral:rRNA from 1 species